rnacentral:rRNA from 1 species
GUGAGGAAUAUUGCGCAAUGGAGGCAACUCUGACGCAGCCAUGCCGCGUGCAGGAAGAAGGCGCUACGCGUUGUAAACUGCUUUUAACCGGGAAGAAACCCCAGGACGUGUCCUGGGUUGACGGUACCGGAGGAAUAAGCACCGGCUAACUUCGUGCCAGCAGCCGCGGUAAUACGAAGGGUGCAAGCGUUAUCCGGAUUCAUUGGGUUUAAAGGGUGCGUAGGCGGAGCGUUAAGUCAGUGGUGAAAUCCUGCAGCUUAACUGUAGACUUGCCAUUGAUACUGGCGCUCUUGAGUGCGCUUGAAGUGGGCGGAAUGUGCCGUGUAGCGGUGAAAUGCUUAGAUAUGGCACACAACACCAAUUGCGAAGGCAGCUCACUAAGGCGAUACUGACGCUGAGGCACGAAAGCGUGGGGAUCGAACAGGAUUAGAUACCCGAGUAGUCC